rnacentral:lncRNA from 1 species
AGGGCCAGCGGGCCCAGGAGCUCCUAGUCAUGGGAUUUCAUGGACCUAUCACUUUUUAAAAGUUAGGUCUGCUCACUCUGUGUCAUCAAGGACAGACCCAAUGGCCCUAACACGAACCCACUGCCAUUUGUUAUCUCCAAGCAGCAGAGCUCUCAGCAUCAAGGACUUUCUAAGAAAGGACCAUGGUGAUGGCUUUGUGACCUGCCUGGCACUCCUGAUACUUCCCAUGGUUGAAACAGAAAUGGGUCUCCUGCCAGUGAACCCAAGAGGAUGAGGAAGUUGGUUUACCACCUUGAUCUUAUUUUUUCCAGUAUUUUUCCAACUUGCUACAGUAACAGAACCUUUGGUCCAGAGCCUGGGAUGUUGCCUUUUGCCCACUGGAAUUCCCAUCUUGGAAGAGUAAGCGCAGGGGAUUGUCCAGACAGCCAGGAGGCCAGCGAAGCCAAGUCCUUCAGUACAGCCUGGGAGCCUCCAGGAAGCUGUUAGGAGUUGCCAUGAUGGGUGCAUUUGGACUCACAGAAUCUGCCUUCCAAUCUCAGUGCUGCUUCUACUCCUUUGCUACCUUAGGUCUUUGAAGACAGGUCCAUACCUUGGGUGUUUGUAUUUGGACAACCACAGACAUUGCCAAGAAAUGUAUCUGUUCUACUUGCACACCUUCACCACCUGGAUGCUGCUUGAGGACACAGAUCUGGUCCAUCAGAUUUCUCUCUGUACUCCUCUCUAUAUUUCGCCAUAUUUGAUAUAGACCCAUCAAUGGCUCCCUAGAAUAAAAUCUCAACUCUUCAC